GUAUAAUCACAGGGUCAUACAAUAACUUCUUCCGGAUCUUUGAUCGUAACACGAGACGUGAUGUAACAUUAGAAGCUUCCAGAGAAACGGCCAAAGCUAGGACAGUACUGAGGCCAAGAAAGGUUGGCACAGGUGGGAAAAAGAAAGAAAGAUGAAAUAGGUGUAGACUGUUUAGAUUUUAAUCGAAAAAUUUUACACACAGCGUGGCAUCCAAGAGAAAACAUAAUCGUCGUAGCAGCAACCAAUAACCUUUAUAUCUUUCAAGAAAAGAUGUGAGUGAUCAUGGUGUCCAGUGUUUAAGUACUUCUAUCCAAUGUCUGCAGUUGGGCAAGAUGCAGAAGAAGUUCCUGAAACUGUACUGUUGAACCGUGGUGCACACAGAGACUGGUUUCAAGUGGCUGUGGUUUAAGAGUCCUUGGUGGACUGUGCCUUCAUCCCAAUUUAUUGUACACGUUCACCAUCGUAUUGCAAUGUCGUCGGUGUUCACGAGACGUAUGCGUGUCGAUGUAUAUAUAUAUAUAAAUAUAUAUAUAUAUAUAUGUUCCCCUCAUUUGACGUAUGUGAUGCCUGUUAAACGUAGUAACCACUCAUGAUUCUUAAUAUUAGUUAAUUAGAAAGCUUAUAAUACUGGAAAUGACUGCUCAGUGUUCUGAAAAGACAUGAGCCAAAACGUUUUGUCAGUAGUCUGUGUGGGGCUAUGUAUUAAUGGCAUAUUUUUCAGUUUGAAAUCACUGUUGCAGGUUAUCUUGAGUUCACAAGAUCAGGGAAAUAGGGAUCAGUAAAUUCAGCAAGCCGUUAUUUAUACCAAUAUAAUGUUACAAAAUAUAGAAGAAAAAUCAACUUUUUAUGUAGAUAUUAGAUUGUAGAUAAAACUCAUUUCUAAAGAUUAAGCACUGUCUCCAUCGAAAAGGUUAGUUAUAAUAAUGCUUUGGAAUGAAUGGAAAUAUUUUUCCAUUCACUGGUUAUUGUGAAGGAGUCUUCCAGGAUGGUCUCGUCAUUUUACACUAUUUUCACAAUAUAUCAGUAUUAAAUGAGAUACGUCAUUCAAGAUGUUUAGUUUUUAUUUAGUAGCCUGAAGAAAAUUAAUUAAUUCUCGUGAAAUGCUCAAUUUAAUAUUAAUUUUAAGCAUGCUGAGUUAUUUUUUUAGUUAUUAUUUCACAUUUCAGAGAAAUAUGCCUGGAGAUCAAAUUGUACAGGGUUGAUCAUGAAGUAUGAAUAAUUUUCUCAAUUAUUGACUUAACUGAUAAAGGUCCAAACCUUUCAACAGCUUACAAGUUCAGUCUCAUACUUUCACUUUAGAGUAUUAUACAAUAAAGACUUUUCUGAUGAAACACAUCUCCAGUUCUUUCCAGGACGAAGGCUGCUAAAUAAUGAUUGAAUUGAGGUGAUCCUCGACAAGGGAUGUCAUCUUGCAUGUAGGUGUUUGUUCUGUGUGCAUGAAAGGGGAUAAACUAGAACUGUUAGUAAUGUUUGACAUCUUGUAUAAAUACAUUGUUGUGUUAAAGAGAAAACAAUAAAGGUUAAGAAUUAGUGUUGUAA
rnacentral:lncRNA from 1 species